rnacentral:rRNA from 1 species
GAUGAACGCUGGCGGCGUGCCUAAUACAUGCAAGUCGAGCGAACGGACGAGAAGCUUGCUUUUCUGAUGUUAGCGGCGGACGGGUGAGUAACACGUGGAUAACCUACCUAUAAGACUGGGAUAACUUCGGGAAACCGGAGCUAAUACCGGAUAAUAUUUUGAACCGCAUGGUUCAAAAGUGAAAGACGGUCUUGCUGUCAUUUAUAGAUGGAUCCGCGCUGCAUUAGCUAGUUGGUAAGGUAACGGCUUACCAAGGCAACGAUGCAUAGCCGACCUGAGAGGGUGAUCGGCCACCCUGGAACUGAGCCGCGGUCCAGACUCCUACGGGAGGCAGCAGUAGGGAAGCUUCGGCAAUGGGCGGAAGCCUGACGGAGCAACGCCGCGUGAGUGAUGAAGGUCUGCGGAUCGUAAAACUCUGUUAUUAGGGAAGAACAUAUGUGUAAGGAACUGUGCACAUCUUGACGGUACCUAAUCAGAAAGCCACGGCUAACUACGUG